AACGAACGCUGGCGGCAUGCCUAACACAUGCAAGUCGAACGAGACCUUCGGGUCUAGUGGCGCACGGGUGCGUAACGCGGGGGGACCUGCCCUUAGGUUCGGAAUAACUCCCCGAAAGGGGUGCUAAUACCGGAUAAUGUCUUACGACCAAAGAUUUCUCGCCUUUGGGUGGGCCCUCGUUGGAUUCGCUAGUUGGUAGGGGGAAAGCCUACCAAGGAGACGAUCCAUAGCUGGUCUGAGAGGAUGAUCAGCCGCACUGGAAAUGAGACACGGACUAGACUCCUACGGGAGGCAGCAGUGGGGAAUAUAGGACAAGGGGCGAAAGCGUGACACAGCAAUGCCGCGGGAGUGAUGAAGGCCUUAGGGUUGUACAGCUCUUUGACCCGGGAUGAUAAUGACAGUACCGGGAGAAUAAGCUCCGGCUAACUACGUG
rnacentral:rRNA from 1 species